GAGACAGAGAGACAGAGACAGAGACAGAGAGAGAGACAGGGAGAGACAGGGACCGAGACCGAGAGAGAGACCCCAGGCAGGUGGGUGGAAGCCGGCGGCAGGUCAGGUCGGGACAGGGUGGGUGGGGACCGGGCAGAGCGGGGCUUGGAGGAGGCUGCGUGUGAGCAGGAGAGGAGGAGCAGGGUUUUUUAGGGUUUUGUCUUGGGAAAGAACCUGCGGAAUCGAGUGGUAACUGAGGGCACAGACGGAGGGGAAAGCGGUUUGUUUGCCUUUUGAGAUGGGGGGGAGCAGGCGUCUGCGCUGGGGAGAAGCUCCGCUGACGCUGACGCUGACGCUGACGCUGACGGGGUGGGGGCGCCCGGCUGGGAAGUGCGCCCGGCGGGCAGGGCCUGGGGCUCAGACUCUGGAGGAACCAGCCGCACCCCCAGCCCCGCCUGUCCCCAGCGCUGUGCACACGGAACGAGACCCGGGCUCUGCAAAGCCCCCAUCGCCGCCCACCACAGUGGACACCGGUGUAAAAGGAGAGUUUUCAAGCAGUUCGUGAAAAACCAAAGCCGGUGCUUGGUCCUCCAGCAGCCCUGGGCCGGUCGGCAGGGGCAGAUUUCCCGCAGGGCUUGAGGCACUCACUGCGUUCAUCCUGAGGCCGCAGCCGGCUGUGCGGGAGGGCGUCUGCUGUCCCCUUCGGGCUUUGUCUGCUAUCAGAGAUCAGCCGGGUCGUGUGCACACCCGUGUUCAAAGCGAGCAGCUCACGCUGGCUGAGCUCGGGCGGCAGCCGAGGUGCAGGCCCGAGGGUGAACUGAGGAGAACGCUGGUGCUCAGACACAGGUGGUUGGCUCAGCCGUAAAGAAUGAAUCCCAGUCUUCCACGGGAGAAGCAGCGGAUCUGGAGACCUUCAUGGUGAGUGAAGUCAGUCAGCCGCAGAAAACGAAAUGGUCACACGAUUUCUCUUAUGUGGGAAAUCCAAACUGUGAAUGCAUUACAGAAGUAAAAUAUAGGAGAGAUGGUGCGACUCAGAGAGGCAGACGUUUUGGAGGUGGGGAAGGAGGACCGCAAGGGCAGAGAUCAGGAAAGAUCCCCAUUUGGUGUAUGCGCACCAGUUCCUCUCAAUGAUUGCGAGUUUCUCCAUUGCAAACACUUACCAAAAAUAAGCAAGGCCGUCCUGAGGCCCCUGCUGACGUUUCCCUGCUGAACUCUCUAAUAGACCUGGGACUGGCAAGGCCAGGCCAUUCCCACCCGCCUGCUGGGUGUGGAAUUCCAUUUCCCAACCCUUCCCCUGGCCUCUCCAGCCUGGGUCCCUCCUUGGCUGUGGAGCAAGGUAUCUCGGACCCCCCAGACGUUGGCUUCCUUCAAGACCCUCUGGGGAGGCACCAGACCAGGGGCCCCAGGAACCCUGUGGACUUGAUUGCGGGAUACAGAGGCGCUCGAGACAGCACUCCCGGGGUCACGGGAUUACCAUGGGGUGCCAUACAAACACAGAACUGGCCGUGGGGCCUGCCGAAGUCAUCGGAUUCGUGCUGCUAGAACAUAAAUGUGACAGAGUCAGUCUUCAUGUAUGCACUGGUGCUUACACGUAAAAAGAACUUUGAAAAAAAUGGCAAGGGCUUUUGCUCCACUGGCUCGGUGCAAACCUCACCCCCGUGAGUUUGUUAAUCCCGAGUGAGAGAUAACAUCAGACACAAGUGGAGGGCACUUCUGGUGCCAGGCAGCCAAGCUUCCCAAACUCGUCUCCUUUGCCCCCCCCAUGGCCCAGCAUCACAGAUGAGAAGAGGAGGCAGGGCAAGCACCCCAGAAGCAAGGCUGUGACGGCCCAUCUCUGAGUGUUCACUGUGGUGCUGUGGAUGCCUUAGCACUGUCCGAUGACAGGAUGUGGGAACUGGAAAGUCUCCGGGAGAACGCUGGGUUCAGUUUUCUCACUGUCUGGAACAGGAAACUGAGGAGCGGGUGGACACGAAUGCUUCAGGCCCCAGUCUUGGAGCCUAGAGGUGCAGGGAGGUCAGCAUCCUCCAUGGCCGCCUUUGCCCUUGCAGGGGGUGCCAUUGGGUGGCUUAUCCCAUUCAGUUUUCUAGGCCAUUUGUGAAAUCUGCUGUAGCUUUAAAAUGUUCAUUUUGUCUCUGCUUUUUUCUGGAGCAGACCCUAUAAAGCCAGAGCAGUGCACCCUGCCACGUCCUCCGGCCCCAUUCAGAUUCCCCACAGGCCUCCUCACUGCCACCGUCCCUCAGUGACUGUUGGAACCCCUAGGUUAAGCUCACUUGCCUUGCACUGCCAGCAGCCGAGUCUCUUGCCUGUUCCCAGUCCUUUUCAGAACAGAUUAUGGAGGCUGCGCAUCUAGUUCAACCCUUUCUGUCCCUCAGCUGAUCCUCACGUCCCUUUUGUGCCAUCCUGGCCAGAACCAAAACCUUUCGGGGUGGAGAACUCACUGUGACUCCAAGUUCUUCUGGAAGGAAAGGUAAUGGUGGAUUAUCUUUUCCUAAUGCCCUAGAGAGAAACACGUGUUCCUAGAAGAUUCAGCCUCUUUACACUGAUCCCACCGGGGAUGGGUAAUUGUAGUAGUCAACCUGACUGGGGAAAGCGUGCCCAGACUGAAUGUUAUUCCUGGGUGUGUCUUAGAGCAUUUCCAGAUGAGAUGAGCAUUUGAUCUGCUGAGCUGAGUAAAGCAGAUGAUUUUGCUCUGUGAUGGGCUCUUCUGACUCAUCAGUCACGGGCUAUGACCAAUCCAUCAAUCACAGGCUCCUCCAAUCCAUCAAUCACGGGCUUUGUCCAAUCCAUCAGUGAUGGCCUCUGUCCAGUCCACUAAUGAUGGGCUUUGACCAAUCCAUCAGUGAAUGUUGGGCUCCAUCCAAUCCAUCAGCACUAGGCUUUAUCCAGUUCAUCGAGGACCAGAUUAGAACAGGAAGUGGAGGGAAGAAGAAUUCACCCUUUGCUUUCUGGCUCCCUUCCUGAGCUUCGACAGCUCAUCUCAUCUGCCUUUGGACAAGGAUUUACAUGACUGGCUCCCCUGGUUUUGGGGCCUUGGGACUUGGGCUGAAGCACACCAUCACCAUUCCUGAGUCUCUGGCUUGUAGAUGGCAGAUUGUGGGAUUUCUCAGCCUUUAAUCAAUGAGUGCAUUUCUCAUAACCAGUCUCCCACACUCUGUCUCUGUCCAUCUGUCCGUCUGUCUCUCCCCCUCUUCCUAAUACAGCACCAAUUCUGGCAUACUGUAAACAUACUUCUAUGUAUAAUGUACAUGAUAUACAUUAUUUUAUCACUUGGGGCUCCAUGAGAAAAAUGGAAAGACUAUGAAGUCUUAACAUGUUUAACUGAAGGUUGACCAGUGAAUGAAGAGACAAUUCAGAGAUGUGGACACAGUCGUGGAAGCAAAGGGGUGGGUGUGUGACACACUUGGAAACCAAUCACAGAGGCAAACUAUUACUCCCCCAAACCUUAAGGAGCAAGAAUCAGGUUACAGUAGCCAAGGACAUGAGCUGCCCUGCAAGAAGGAGGGCCUUCAAUGGAGGGGCUCAGCUGUUAGCAUGUCCCCAUCUUAUCCUGCGCUGAUGACCUGCUGAAUUUCUACCCUACUGUAAUCUUGUUUGUCUUUGAGGACAGAACUUCCUCUUCAGGUAGGCUAGCAAAACCAGCUGAAUCUACGAUGACUGCCAGACAACCUCUACCUUUGUUGUGAUUCCAUCUGCAUGCUGAAUCACAGACCUCCCAGUGACAGUCGGUCAUUACCAUGAAGAUGACCUGAAAAACUGCAGAAUGCAAAAAGAGGGGGCACCGGAAUUCCUGGAUCUCUGCCCAGUCCCCAAAAGACAAAUAUCUCUCCCUUUAUGAGCCUAUCCUUCCCCCAUCUUGCUCUGUUCCAGUCCAGGUAAUUUUUACUUCAUUUGAUUCUGUACAUUUGUUUUCAGCUCUAUACAUUCAUUUUUAUUGUGGUAACAUAACAUGUAACAUAAAAAUUUACCACUUUAAUCAUUUUAAAGUGGCAUUAAGAGGGCCAGGGAUUUAGCUCAGUGGUUCCAGUGCCUGCCUUGCAAGUGCAAGGUCCCGAGUUCCAUACCCGGUACCAAAAAAAAAAAUUAAAAAAUUUAAAGUGGUAUUAAGUACAUUCAUGCCAUUGUGCAAUUGAUAAAAGGGUAAAAUGGAAAGAAAGAUAUACAUAGUAUAAAUAUUGUUGUUUCAUUUAUUAUUUAUUAUCAAUUACAUUUAUUUUAACUGGUACAUAAAACCAUUAAAAUUACAUAUUUACAUAUUUAUGAGGUAACGUGCUGUUUCGAUACAUGAAUACAUUGUGUACUGCUUAAAUCAGAUUAAAUAAACCUAUUCCCUCAAACUCAUCA